CACGUAGGGCGCAAGCGUUGUCCGGAAUUACUGGGCGUAAAGCGUGCGUAGGUGGUGAGUUAAGUCUGUCGUGAAAGCCCCGGGCUCAACCUGGGAAUGGCGAUGGAUACUGGCUCGCUAGAGUGCGGUAGAGGAGAGUGGAAUUCCCGGUGUAGCAGUGAAAUGCGUAGAGAUCGGGAGGAACAUCAGUUGCGAAGGCGGCUCUCUGGACCAGCACUGACACUGAGGCACGAAAGCGUGGGGAGCAAACAGG
rnacentral:rRNA from 1 species